AUUUUUUAGUUACGGUCGACAACUGAAUUCAACUUAGCUGCUGAGCCACUUAAGCUAAAAUCUCGGUCUCAUACUAAUGCCGAGCAGCGAAAAAUGCCAGUGAAGGAAAGAAUGGUAUAGAAAAACAAAGCAGGCGGAAGUAAUCCACGAAAAGGAAGGGGGUGUGAAAGAACUACCCAAUGAGACGCAGCAGAUAGAGCCCAAAAACGAAAGGAGAAAGCAGAACAAAUUGGGCGAAGAUAAAAAAAAUAAAGAAAUAAUAGCUCCAGGCCAUAUAGCGCUGUAGGUCUUGCUUCCAGAAAGGCUUUCUUGAAUCGAUUUAAGCAUGUGUACCCGUAUAACUGUGUGACAACUUACAGAUCGCGGUUUGAAGCAAUUUAGUACACUAAUGUGUUUUAGCCAACAGAAGUGGCCCACAGGAAAGAAGAAGAGAGCAAAUCGGCUGCAUUUACAAAAAAUAUUGUAUGCUUUUCCACAUUCUUUGAGGACAACAGCCGUAAAGGCGUCACUUUAUGAAGCUUACUAACACACGUUUAUGUGUCAUUAAUCUCAUUCGUGUUAUUUCAAAAUCGUGUAACAAAAGAGUUUGUUAUGUACCUAUUUUUCGGUAAGCUUUUAAUCGAAACUUUAGAAAAAACCACUAAAACCUUCUGAAAGCUUUCCUGUUAUAGCAAAAAAAAACGUCGAUAAUAUGAAAAAAAAAUAUCCAAAGCCACAAUAUUGACGAUAACAGACUUACAUGAAUUACGAUCAAAAUACCAUCUACAAAUGACUACUAAACACACUAAUACCAUCUACAAACCGCUACUAACCAUAAUAAUAUUAUAAACAUAACGUACAUUAGAAUUCAA